rnacentral:lncRNA from 1 species
AAAUUUUGAUGUAAAUUUUUAAUAUUUAAAUUUUAAUUUGAAUUUAAAUUAAUAUACUAUAAAGAUAAAGUUAGCAUAUUAAUCUGAUUACAUUUUUUAUAUUUACCUAAACCAAACACCGAUAAUAGAAAUGAUUUAUUCCGAUUCCAAUUCAGGUGAUAUGAACCAAACAGAAUUAGGUAAUGAGUCAUUCCGAUUCCGAUUUCAGCUUAUUUCAAUUCCGAUUUCGAUUCUGAUUCCGACUUCGAACCAAAACACCCUAAAAGGCUUUUUGCCAAAUUUAUAAAUUUAGAAAUGACUCUAUAUUGUAUACGUAGACUCGAAAUAUUUUUAAUGAACACGAUAAUUCAUUCAUUUUAUUUAGUUAAACAACAAAAUAUAUUUUUAAAAAUAAAAUAUUAGUCAUUUUCUCUCUAUAUACUAUUCUAAACACGGCGAAUCAAUCACGUACAGUAUUUACAUUAUGUUUUUUUUUCUUAUCCAUGCAGGGCCUACGUGUACAAAUAAAGAAUCAUUUCUGUAUUUGUAAUUUUGAUAGGAUUAUUUGUAAAAUAAAUUUUUUAAACGACUAGAAAUUCUAGAUCAAUGCUUUUAUGACAAUUAUGCUAAUAUCCCAUAGGCGCGCUUGGUUCGCGUUAAUAUUACAUAUUAUUUCGACAUAAUAAGGUAUCUUCUUGCCAAUAAAGUAUAUUCCAUUACAAAAUUGUCCUUUAGUUAUAUUUGGCAAAAAUUUUUUAUUGUUUACAAAUAAUAUUUUUUUAUUACAUUUUAUUUUAAAAUAAUUUUAAAUUUGAAUUUAAAUUUUAACUUUUAAAUUUUAUAUUUUAAAUCUGAAUAAAAAAUAUAAAUUUAAUAUUUUAAUUUGAAAUAUAAAUAUGAAAUUUAAAAUUUAAAAUUUAAAAUUUAGAAUUUAAAAUCUAAAUUUAAAUUUACAAUUUAAAAUUUAAAAUUUAGAAUUUAGAAUUUAGAAUUUAAAAUAUAAAUUUUAAAAUUUACAAUUUAAAAUUUAAAAUUUAAAAUUUUAGAAUGACAAUUCAAAAUUUUAAAUUAAAUUUUUAAAAAUGACUUGAGGGUUGGAAGGGUAAAUCUAUAAUUUUAUAUAACAUACAAAAUAACAAGCCAACAAUAAUAUGAGAUACCCACUCCCAACUCGGUAAUAUUUUCGGAGUAAUUGUGCAUCACUUGUAAUAUUAUAUUACUAACCAAAUUACAAACUGGAUGAACCAUAUGCAAUAAUCCUAGCAUGAUUCACUAUAAUCCUGGUAGGAUAACCCGAGCCAAACAUGACUAUAUAGCGAUAUAUUUGCAAAACUCUCUAUCACAUCAUGUAUACGUAUGAAAAUCC